rnacentral:rRNA from 1 species
CACGUAGGGUGCGAGCGUUGUCCGGAAUUAUUGGGCGUAAAGAGCUCGUAGGCGGUGUGUCGCGUCGGCCGUGAAAACCUGCAGCUCAACUGUGGGCUUGCAGCUGAUACGGGCAGGCUUGAGUUCGGUAGGGGAGACUGGAAUUCCUGGUGUAGCGGUGAAAUGCGCAGAUAUCAGGAGGAACACCGGUGGCGAAGGCGGGUCUCUGGGCCGAUACUGACGCUGAGGAGCGAAAGCGUGGGGAGCGAACAGG